rnacentral:rRNA from 1 species
UACGGAGGAUCCAAGCGUUAUCCGGAUUUAUUGGGUUUAAAGGGUGCGUAGGCGGCUUAUUAAGUCAGGGGUGAAAGACGGUGGCUCAACCAUCGCAGUGCCCUUGAUACUGAUGAGCUUGAAUACACUAGAGGUAGGCGGAAUGUGACAAGUAGCGGUGAAAUGCAUAGAUAUGUCACAGAACACCGAUUGCGAAGGCAGCUUACUAUGGUGUCAUUGACGCUGAGGCACGAAAGCGUGGGGAUCAAACAGGAUUAGAAACCCCGGUAGUCC